CCUAGAGGGGGACAACAGUUGGAAACGACUGCUAAUACCGCAUACGAUCCAAUCUCGGCAUCGAGGAUGGAUGAAAGGUGGCCUCUAUUUAUAAGCUAUCACUGAAGGAGGGGAUUGCGUCUGAUUAGCUAGUUGGAGGGGUAACGGCCCACCAAGGCGAUGAUCAGUAGCCGGUCUGAGAGGAUGAACGGCCACAUUGGGACUGAGACACGGCCCAG
rnacentral:rRNA from 1 species